GAUGAACGCUAGCGGUAGGCCUAACACAUGCAAGCCGAGCGGUAUUGUUUCUUCGGAAAUGCGAGAGCGGCGUACGGGUGCGUAACACGUGUGCAACCUGCCUUUAUCUGGGGGAUAGCCUUUCGAAAGGAAGAUUAAUACUCCAUAAUAUAUUGAACGGCAUCGUUUAAUAUUGAAAGCUCCGGCGGAUAGAGAUGGGCACGCGCAAGAUUAGCUAGUUGGUGAGGUAACGGCUCACCAAGGCGAUGAUCUUUAGGGGGCCUGAGAGGGUGAUCCCCCACACUGGUACUGAGACACGGACCAGACUCCUACGGGAGGCAGCAGUGAGGAAUAUUGGUCAAUGGGUGCAAGCCUGAACCAGCCAUCCCGCGUGAAGGACGACUGCCCUAUGGGUUGUAAACUUCUUUUGUAUAGGGAUAAACCUACCCUCGUGAGGGUAGCUGAAGGUACUAUACGAAUAAGCACCGGCUAACUCCGUG
rnacentral:rRNA from 1 species